UUUUAUAAUAAAAAUGAUGGUAUCAAUCACCGAACAAAUAAUACAAACACAAUCACACAGAUAUUGAUGGGAUAUCCAUGCACAAUCCAAAUCAUGUUUUUUUAAUAAAAUCCAAAUAUGAUUCACUACAUCAUUAAUCUCAUAUUUACACCUUCAUGGCUAAAUGAUUGGGGAGACAAAACAAUAAUAAUUAAGACUAAUAACAUUGGUAAACUAUAUAUAUAUAUAUAUAUAUAUAUAUAUAUAUAAGAAACAUAAACAACAAAAUAUAUAUAUGAAGAAAUUUGGUAAUUGUUUGAAUUUUGGUACUUUGAUUUUCUUUGCAAUUCUUACCUAUUUGAAAUAGGAUUUGGACCGCUAGGAACUUCAUGAGCACUAGCAUUGACAGCCCGCUCUUGCCACGGCGACCGGUUUGCCGGCCCUUCCCGUCGACCUCCAGUGGCCGGAAUAUUUUGGACAUAAGUAGUUUCUUGUUUGUUGAUACUGCCGGAGUUUCUUUGUGGGGUUAGAGGUAGUAAGUUUUGUUCUUGGUGGGCCAUUAUAGUUAGAAGGAAGAAAAUGAAGAAGAAGAAGAAGAAGAAGAGGGGUUUUGAAGGAAAAAUGAAGGUGAAGGUCAUUUUAUUGUAAGUGGCAAUGCCAUUCUCCAUAGCCAUAAAAUUACAUGAAGUUCAAGAUUCAUCCACUAUAAGGAGAGAGAGAGAGAAUCUUGAAAGAUAAACUAAGGGAAAUUGCUCGGGAAGGAGAGGUUGGGGUUGUUUUUGAAAUGUAUUGUUUUUUUCAUGUGUGGAUGGUUUUGAAAGUAGGAAAAAACAUAAUAACAAAUAUGUAUGAGAAAGAGAGGAUAUAUAUAUAUAUAUAUAUAUAUAUAUAUAUAUAUAUAUAUAUAUAGAAAUGAUC
rnacentral:lncRNA from 1 species